rnacentral:rRNA from 1 species
GUGACAGCAGCCGCGGUAAGACGGAGGGCGCAAGCGCUGUUCAGAAUUACUGGGCGUAAAGCGCGGGCAGGCGGCCCGCUAAGUCUGCGGUGAAAUCCCGGGGCUCAACCCCGGAUAUGCCGCGGAUACUGACGGGCUAGAGACCGGUAGAGGCGAGUGGAAUUCCUGGUGUAGCGGUGGAAUGCGUAGAGAUCAGCAGGAACACCGGUGGCGAAGGCGGCAUCCUGGACCAACACUGACGCUGAGGCGCGAAAGCUAGGGGAGCAAACGGGAUUAGAUACCCGGGUAGUCC